rnacentral:piRNA from 1 species
UCCUGAUCCUCUAGCCUUCAGAGAAGCCC